ensembl:lncRNA
AAUAAUAAUAAUAAUAAAACAUAUAAAUAAAUAAAUAAAUAAAUAGAUAGAUAAAUAAAUAAAUAUUUUAAAAAAGGUAAUGUCAGUCUCUGCACCGCUCGCUUAGGGCGCUUGAAAAUGCAGCGCUUCGAACACAAAUCUCACUCGGGUCUGGACCAAAACGACUACGUCGGAGAAAAUUUGAAGCAGCGUGGUCUCGGUCUGCUUUCAAGCGACGUGUAAUGAGGUUUCCAGGCAACCAAAACAUGGGACUGUGCUAGCUGAUACCUUAUGCGAUUUGUCUCAUUAUGAUUAUUAUUUAGUGCCAGCACUGUGUUCUCCAUGCUUGCUUAUUUCCAACAGCCCCGCUUCUUUCGCAUGUCUCCCUCAGCACGUGUUUAAAUUUUCUGACCCGUAUGAAAUUCCAGCAGCAUGAAAUUAAAUUUCAGUAUGAAACGUUGACACGUAGAGUAAAAGAAAAAGCCCCCCCCCCUUACCACUUCAUCCUUCUCUUCAAGAUCUUUCUGCAGCUGAAUCUUCUCGUCCCUCAGGCCCUGCAGCAGUUCCAGAAGCUGGUCUCUCUCCUGAGUCACGAAGGCGAUAUCUGACCGAACCUGUUCCAUCUCAGCCACGUGAGAAAGACUCUGCUGGGUCGACUCUGAUAGAAGGUGCUCUCUCUCUGCACUCAUAGACUGAAGCUCCUGUCUUAACUGCAUGACCUGUGGGGGGGAAAUAAACAAAUAUUAAACAGACAUGGAGUAGGAUUGUUAUCUUAUCUUAUCUUAUCUUAUCUAUCUAUCUAUAUAUACACACACAUAUACAUACAUACAUACAUACAUACACACAUACAUAUACACACACACACGUACACAAACCCCUCCUUUCGGACUCCCCUAAAUCACACUACGGCACGCUCCUGUUCUUCACACAGGCUCUUUUCAUUUUCACCACCAGCUUGUGCGAGUCCCUACCGUUUCGUUGGUCUCCACAAGUUCAGUCUUCAGCCGGUUAUUCUCCUCUCUCGUCUGGUCUCUCUCUUCAGUCAGAGACGCGAUACGGACCUGAUGCCUCUCCGACUCGGCUUUGCUAUCCAGCUCGUCUUUAGAUUUCUCAGCCAACAAGUUGUCCUUUUCGGCCGUAGCAGAUCGGAGCUCGUCCGUCAACUGAGUCAGCUGCAACACACACAUUCACAAUCACAUUAAAGUUCAAGACACGACUUCUUUCUCUCUUUAUGUUUACUAAGAGAUUCCUACUACUUGAACAGAAAAAAAAAAAAUUAAGGCAAGAUUAGGAUUACCAUCCGAUUCUUGUCCUCCAGCUCACUGCUCAUCUGGUUCUUCUCCUCUCUCAGGCCCUGCAGGAUCUCCAGCAGUUGGUCUCUUUCUUCACUGAGAGCGGAUACACUCGCCUGAAUCGUCUCCAGUGCAGCGUCCACCGCAGAGUCUUUAGUCGCAGCGUCUCUGUCUGCAGUAGUGACCUCGCGCUCCUCUCUCAGCUGUAUAAUCUGAGAAGACGUCAACAUUAGCGUUUCGCUUACAUUCUUGAAAGUUUUCCAAUAAAUAAAUAAAUAAAUAAAUAAAUAAAUAAAAUAAUAAUAAUAAUAAUAAUGAGUAAUUCUGACCAUGUCUUCCUCUUCCUUCUCUUCUAGGAUACUCUUUAUCUGGCUCUUUUCUUCCCUCAG